ACUAGAUGACCCGCCCCCUCGGGCUGUCGGGGGGUCGAGGCAGUGGAGGGUUCGUGAUGCCAGCUCACGGAGGGAAUCCAGGGAAUUAGGUAAUGAACGGUCUACCCAUGAAGGGGACCGAUUAGUGCCUCUCGCCUGGUCCUGAAGACCUUUAAAUUAUUCUUUCAGCUGAUGCCAAGAGCCUCUUUUUGGCCAGCACUUACUAAGCACCAGAGACACAGCGAGAAGCAGAAGCAUACGAGCACAUCAGCGUGAUUCUGCUGUGAUGAAGGGCAAGAGAGGGCUCACUUUCCGGGGUGACAUUCAAGCUAGCCCCGAGGCCUGAGCAGGACCCGCCCAGGGGAAGAUCUGGAGGAAAGCCAUCUGAACAUACAACAAGAGCAAAGGCCUGGUGGAGUCAGGACCACCUUGGCUGCCAGGUGGAAUGGUGGAAUAACUCAGGAGUCUGUCAGGUCUCUGAGAUGUCAAACGGGCUUGGCACACACCCAGGAGCUCAAUGCUGCUGGGAGCUGAGCAGCUGGGAGCAAGGAGCCCUCAUCCCCACUGAUGAAGAGGCCAGCCCAGGCUCUAGGCUAAGCGGGCCUGUGAUUAUAAACAGCAGUGUCUCCCUGGACAAGUUUCUUGACCCCUGAGAAGAAUGUUAGACCAUCAACUUUGUGAGGGGAGAGGCAG
rnacentral:antisense_RNA from 1 species